AGGACACGCUUCGGGAGGAAUAAAUGCUCCACCAAUGCACUGCACUCAACCUGGAGAUCAACCUUCACCUGUGGCUUUUGUUACCCAGUUGUCAAACCCUGAGUAUCUAAGCUCUUAGCUGUUGAUCGUUCAAGUUAUGGAGUCUUACUAAGUUUUAAUUUGUACCUUAAAUGUCUGUUAAGAUCGGCGUAUAUGUAUAUGUACAUAGCUAUCUUCAGGUGCACGUCACCGUAUAUUUAUCUGCAUUAUGUUCUGUUUGUGAUCCUGGCAUGGUAGUAGUAGCUCAAUGGAUAUAUUGUUAUUAUUAUUGUU